GAUGGUUAGCGGCGGACGGGUGAGUAACACGUAGGCAACCUGCCCUCAAGUUUGGGACAACUACCGGAAACGGUAGCUAAUACCGAAUAGUUGUUUUCUUCGCCUGAAGAAAACUGGAAAGACGGAGCAAUCUGUCACUUGGGGAUGGGCCUGCGGCGCAUUAGCUAGUUGGUGAGGUAACGGCUCACCAAGGCGACGAUGCGUAGCCGACCUGAGAGGGUGAUCGGCCACACUGGGACUGAGACACGGCCCAGACUCCUACGGGAGGCAGCAGUAGGGAAUCUUCCGCAAUGGGCGAAAGCCUGACGGAGCAAUGCCGCGUGAGUGAUGAAGGUUUUCGGAUCGUAAAGCUCUGUUGCCAGGGAAGAACGCUUGGGAGAGUAACUGCUCUCAAGGUGACGGUACCUGAGAAGAAAGCCCCGGCUAACUACGUGCCAGCAGCCGCGGUAAUACGUAGGGGGCAAGCGUUGUCCGGAAUUAUUGGGCGUAAAGCGCGCGCAGGCGGUCAUUUAAGUCUGGUGUUUAAUCCCGGGGCUCAACCCCGGAUCGCACUGGAAACUGGGUGACUUGAGUGCAGAAGAGGAGAGUGGAAUUCCACGUGUAGCGGUGAAAUGCGUAG
rnacentral:rRNA from 1 species